rnacentral:rRNA from 1 species
UACGGAGGGUGCAAGCGUUGUCCGGAUUUAUUGGGUUUAAAGGGUGCGUAGGCGGUCUUUUAAGUCAGUGGUGAAAGCCUCCAGCUCAACUGGAGAAAUGCCAUUGAUACUGGAAGACUUGAGUAUAGUUGAGGUAGGCUGAAUUGACAGUGUAGCGGUGAAAUGCAUAGAUAUUGUCAAGAACACCGAUUGCGAAGGCAGCUUACUAAACUAUAACUGACGCUGAGGCACGAAAGUGCGAGGAUCAAACAGG